AGGAGGCAAAGGGGGCUUUACUUCACCUCCAAGCCAAAUACUUAAGAGAAAAAGAACAUCCCUGCCAUUUUCCCAUGCUGCAGGAAAAGCAGAGGCAUGGAGAGCUACAGUCCAAGUACUGUACAGAAGUAAAUACUAGUUGUAUGUGCAUACCUUUGCUGAAGUUGCUAAGGAGCAGAGCUAUCUAUUUCCUUCUCAAAAUGCAGACAUAUCAAAUAACAUAAAUUUAAAAGAUACUGUUUUUGAGCCUGCAUCGUCUCUGAAGAAAGUGUGGAUUUAAGGCACACGUGCUUGAUUAAGGUGUCUAAGAGAACAUGG